GGCCUAACACAUGCAAGUCGAACGAGACUUCGGGUCUAGUGGCGCACGGGUGCGUCACGCGUGGGAAUCUGCCCUUGGGUUCGGAAUAACAGCGAGAAAUUGCUGCUAAUACCGGAUGAUGACGUAAGUCCAAAGAUUUAUCGCCCAGGGAUGAGCCCGCGUAGGAUUAGCUAGUUGGUGGGGUAAAGGCCUACCAAGGCGACGAUCCUUAGCUGGUCUGAGAGGAUGAUCAGCCACACUGGGACUGAGACACGGCCCAGACUCCUACGGGAGGCAGCAGUGGGGAAUAUUGGACAAUGGGCGAAAGCCUGAUCCAGCAAUGCCGCGUGAGUGAUGAAGGCCUUAGGGUUGUAAAGCUCUUUUACCCGGGAUGAUAAUGACAGUACCGGGAGAAUAAGCUCCGGCUAACUCCGUGCCAGCAGCCGCGGUAAU
rnacentral:rRNA from 1 species